CACGUAGGAGGCGAGCGUUGUCCGGAAUCAUUGGGCGUAAAGAGCGCGCAGGCGGCUUGGCAAGUCGGGUGUGAAAUCCCGGGGCUCAACCCCGUGACUGCAUCCGAUACUGUCAGGCUAGAGGUAGGUAGGGGAGAUCGGAAUUCCUGGUGUAGCGGUGAAAUGCGCAGAUAUCAGGAGGAACACCUGAGGCGAAGGCGGGUUGCUAGGCUGAUACUGACGCUGAGGCGCGAAAGCUAGGGUAGCAAACGGG
rnacentral:rRNA from 1 species